AUUGAACGCUGGCGGCAGGCUUAACACAUGCAAGUCGAGCGAGCGGCGGACGGGUGAGUUAUGACUGGGAAACUGCCUGAGGGAGGGGGAUAACUACUGGAAACGAUAGCCAAUAACGCAUACCAUAAGAUGGGCCCAGAUGGGAUUAGCUAGUUGUGGGGGUAAUGGCGCACCUAGGCGACGAUCCGUAGCUGGUCUGUGAGGAUGACCAGCCACACUGGAACUGAGACACGGUCCAGACUCCUACGGGAGGCAGCAGUGGGGAAUAUUGGACAAUGGGCGCAAGCCUGAUGCAGCCAUGCCGCGUGUGUGAAGAAGGUCUUCGGAUUGUAAAGCACUUUAAGUGGGGAGGCGUUACUCGCAGAAGAAGCACCGGCUAACUCCGUGCCAGCAGCCGCGGUAAUUC
rnacentral:rRNA from 1 species